GCGCCCGUAGCUCAAUUGGAUAGAGCACCGGACUUCGGAUCCGGGUUGUUGGGGGUUCAAAUCCUCUCGGGCGUGCCA
rnacentral:tRNA from 1 species